rnacentral:snRNA from 1 species
AUACCUUUCUCGGCCUUUUGGCUAUGAUCAAGUGUAGUAUCUGUUCUUAUCAGUUUAAAAAUUCAUACUACAGUGGUUUGCCAUUGGGUCCAUUAUGUGUCGCUCUAGUGUUGCACUAUUGCUUGAGCCUGGCGCACCCCAA